rnacentral:sRNA from 1 species
ACAAAAAUGCCAUACACAGAAGCUAUUCAUUUAUCUACAGAACAGGACCUGGCUGGGCAGGUUCCCCAACACUGACCUGGCAUGUCCUGCAACACUGCUUGGGGACAUGUGCAUGACAGAUGGGAAGGUGGUUCAGUCUAUGCUGGUUAAGUCUUUGAACUA